UCUCUUGUGUUAAGGUGCAUCUAGUGCAGUUAAGCAGCUUAGAACCUACUGCCCUAAGUGCUCCUUCUGGCACAGGCU
rnacentral:pre_miRNA from 1 species